rnacentral:rRNA from 1 species
AUUGAACGCUGGCGGCAGGCUUAACACAUGCAAGUCGAACGAGUGGCGGACGGGUGAGUAAUGCUUGGGAAUCUAGCUUAUCGAGGGGGAUAACUCCGGGAACAUGUAGCUACUACCGCUUAACAUAGGAUGAGCUCCAGUGGGAUGAGGUAGUUGGGGGGGUAAAGGCUCACCAAGACGACGCUCUCUAGCUGGCCUGAGAGGAUGACCAGCCACACGGGGACUGAGACACGGCCCAGACUCCUACGGGAGGCAGCAGUGGGGAAUAUUGCGCAAUGGAUGCAACCUGACGGAGCCAUGCCGCGUGAGUGAAGAAGGCCUUCGGGUUGUAAAGUUCUGUCGGUAGCGAAGCGUUAACUACAGAAGAAGCACCGGCUAACUCCGUGCCAGCAGCCGCGGUAAUUC